GACUCACAGGUUGAGAACUGCUCAAUCUGAUUGAGGCAAUUCUUCAGUUAAAGUUUCCUCUUCUCAAGGGCUAAGUUGUGUCAAGUUGAUGAUAAAACAAACUAAGGUAUGGUCUCUAUGUUUGCCUGUGAGCUUCUAGGCAACCAGAGUGAAUAAAUGAUUGGCUACUUAGUUCUUACUUCUCUCAAAGAAAACCUUCCCACUUCUUUAUGACUUGGCAUCCUUCCUCCCGGCUGUGAGCAGAAAGUCCUUAAAUUCCUCAAUUUUCCGAGGCAUGGCGACGGAGGCUCGGCUCUGGUGUCUGCACCUGCAGGGGCAAUCCCGAGUUAACCAGCCGCGAUCCUGCUUCCCCGAUCCGCCCCACCGUACCCUUCCCUCCUCCCUCCCUCAGAUUUCAUUUUUAAUUGUGUGAACCCAUGUGGGCCACUGAAGACCCAAAUAACGGGCUGGAUCCCUGGAACUAGAAUUACAGGCUGUUGGUGCGUCGCCCAAUGAGAGCGUUGGGAACCAAACUCAGAUCUGUGAGAGCAGCACAUGCUCUUAGCCACUAAGCUAAGAAGUAAGCUUUGGGGGCAGCACAUCCUACAGUACAUUGAGCCAGCGCAGUGUCUCAGCAGGGAACAAAGGGAGGUGAGAUAGAAGAUGCCUUCAACAUCUUUAACCUCAGUGAGCAAGGCACCAGUCAGAGGUCCUUCUGAGGAAAUCCCCAGACACAGUGCCCACCAGCUGGCAAAGGGCAGACAGAGUUCAGAAUAGGAAGCCGCAGUCAAUGCCAACAAGCAAUGCCGAGAUGUCAGUAUUGAAGGAUGCUGAAGACGCCAGCAAAAGUGAUACUGUGUGAUGGACUUGGGAGGAAGCUGCAAAUGAGGUAAGUGGAAAGAGGGAUCAAAGGGUGCAUCACAAUUAAGACAGCAAUAGUUCAGUAGAGAACGUGGAAGUGAGGCGAGCACACCGUGUGUUUGGUACCACUUCUCUUUGCUAGCUGCCCCAAGUAGGAAGCCUACAUCUCCAGCAUUGUAGUAGUUGCAUGGGGUGGGCAGAGUUUGAGUCGGUGCUCGGGAUGAGUUUCCAAUUCUGUUCUUGUUUCCGUUCAUAUUCCAGCCACUCUCUACCUACUGUGUGCCUGUGCCAGGCUCUGCUCCUAAGCCUGGUGGAGCAGAGUUCAAAGACAGAGCACUCCAUCUCAAAAGGUCUCACUCUUGAAGGAAAGAUGAAGGAGGGAGGAAAAGAGGACUAUGGCGGGAGGACGGUUUCUCAGUCAUCUGGAGGAACAGGAAAGGAGGGGGAGGGGAACCUGGAACUGUGUUGGUUUCGUGUCAAUAUUUAUCUGUCUGCACACAUUCACUUCAUCACUGUACAAGUCCAUAAUGCAUUCACCAAGAACACAGUCACAACCACUGGAUUACUCUCUCCUCUCUUCUCCUCUCCUCUCCCCUCUCUCCUCUCUCUA